ensembl:lncRNA
UUCUCUUCUCUUCUCUUCUCUUCUCUUCUCUUCUCUUCUCUUCUCUUCUCUUCUCUUCUCUCUCUUCUCUUCUCUCUCUUUUCCCUUCUUCCCUUCUUUCUCUCUUCCCUUCUCUCCUUCUUUCUUUUUCUUUCUGUCAUUCUCUCCUCUCUUUCCUCUUCUCUCUCUCCUUCUUUCUCCCAUUUUCACUCCUCUCUUCCUCUCCUUUCUCCUUUCUCCUUUCUCCUUUCUCCUUUCUCCUUUCUCCUUUCUCCUUCUCCUUCUCCUUCUCCUUCUCCUUCUCCUUCUCCUUCUCCUUCUCCUUCUCCUUCUCCUUCUCCUUCUCCUUUUCUGCACCCCCAUUCGGUCUGCUGCCCGGACCAUCGAGGCAGUUAGGAGCAUCCCAUCCCGCCCGAGCUUCCUUUAACCGAAGUACCGAACAGGAGGGAGAGGGCAGUCACCGGGAGCAGAGGGAAGCGGUAGGGCCCGAGCUGCAGCCCAGGUGCAGCCGUGCAAUCGCUGCUGCGGGAAAGACAAAGACGGAGACCCCUGAGAAGGCGGCGAGGUGCCGUCCUCUCCGCCGGGUCUAUCUGUAAUUGAAUCUAGGUCAGUUAUUCUAAAGCAUGGGAGAGGCUGAUUCCCUCUUUCCGACAUCAGCCCGGAAUUUGGGGGGAGGAGAGGGGGGUCUUGCAAUUUCAUUUAAAAUGUAAUGGUGGAUGAACCGAUAAGCAAAUAGGGGGAAAAAAGGCUCUGCUUAAAAGAAAUAAAAAAAGAAAAAAAAAUGGCAUGCUUUUAAUAUGCUUCCAGAUGGGGGGAAAAUGAUUUACAUGGGAGUUUAUUUCCUCUUUGCUGAUAUGAAAGAAUUACAGAUACAAAACCCACUGAUCUAUAGAAUAAAAAAAAAGAAAAGAAAUGUUAUUUUCCUGUAAAGGUAUCAGUUCAUUUAUAUUCAUUUAACCAUCCAUCCAUCAAUUCACUUUCUCUCUCCCUGCACAUUCUCUCUGCCUCUGGUAAACCUACCCCACCAAUAUACUUUUCUGGAAUAUACAAUGAAGUUUCCUUAAAAAAGAAAAAGAAAUAAUGAGAGAUUCAGUUGAAGUAGGGAAAGAGAAGUUCCCCCUCUCCCCCCAGCCCCCAGCUCCUGGUUUACCUUGCAGACUUUGAGGAAAUUAGCAAUAUGAAAGAAAAACCGUUCAAGUUUGGAAGAAAAUGUCUGUAUAUAUCUAUAAAUAAUAUAUGAAGUAUAGAUGUUAUACAUGUGUCUACUGUGUAUAUAUAAUAUAUACCACGGAGCUUGUGUGCUCAACAUGUAUGUACCAUGUCUUUACGCUCAUGUCAUAUAAAUAGCUCAUUCUCUCUCUAUGUGCGUGCCUAUAAAAUAAAAUAUACAGAUAUUGUACAGAUAUUUACAGCAUUCAUAUAUCCCAAGUGCGCAGACAUAGAUUGAAACAUACAUCCAACCUACGUAUGCUGUUUAUAUAUAUAUGCGCAGUAUAUAUGAUGCCCACACUGUGCACAUACAAAGACGGUGUCUCUCUGACCCGGAGCAGAACGUUUGCAUUUAAACAUAAAUUAUCAUCCUAAAUUCCCCACCUGUGUUCCUGUGUGAGUGUGGAGGCGCAUCUGACAGCGUAGCAAGGGUACUGGUGUUUGUGUCCACAUGCUGGGCACUCUGUGCACACAGAGAGAGAGUGGACUACGGGAAGGCAGGAUCAGCCUGGUGCCCUCAGACCUUCCCAAGUGAAGAGCUGUGGUUGUAUUUUUUUUGUUGUGUUUGGGGUGAUAGCUCGGCCUGUGGUAGAAUUUCCUUUAUAGGAAGAGGGACCGAAGAGCAAACCUCUCUCAUAGUUGAUAACACAGGCAAGUAUUACGACAAAUCUACCCUAUGUGAGCCCUUCCCCAUGGGGCCAGCCCUGGCUGGAAGUGGCUCCUUCCUCCCCAUGCCCUCACCCACCAGAAUAGCCACGAGGAGGAUGAGGCUGCGUGCCCAAAGCGGGAAUCUGUUAAACCACCCAUCCAUCAGUCAUCUCCCAGAGACCUUCGCACAGGCUGGAAGCGAAGGGAUCAGCAUAACUCGCCUUUGUAGGCUGCAUGUAGCAGGAAAAGCUGUACAAGAAGUUGGCUCUUUAUUGAAAGGAAUACGUAAACGGAGAGGCAGCUAGAUAUGGAAAUACCUACAUAGGCAGAUAAAAACACACACCUUUAUCUUCAGCCAGAUAUUUAUAUAGAUCCGCAUAUAAUUUCUCCCACGGCUGCCUGUUAGAAGCGCCUCCGCCGGCACUCGGGGGGGGGGGUCCAUGCUACUCUUCCAGCAAUCCCAGGUAUAGAUGCAUCGCCCACCCUGCGAUCAAACAGCACUGAGAUGGGCAGCCCUACGGAAGCAUGCCCUGUGUGUGUAUCCCUGCAACAACACCAGGCUGAUCAAAGGCGGAGGCGCCGGGCUCUGUGCUGUAAGUGGCACCCAUGGAUGUCAGCCCCGCUUCAUGUUUGGAACCCGCACCUGAAUAAAUACAUAAUCAUAUCACAUAGCAUAAUUAAUAAGAGUAGCACCAUGAAGGACUCUUAAAGGAAAGGCUGUUGAAAGAGAGUUCCUGAAGAUAAUCCUUUUAAAAGGUUUCCUUAAAAUGCAGCCGCUAGUGGGAAUAAGGCAGGUUUAGUUCCAACAUCUUAAUACCUCCGGGUAGCACUGUUUUAGAUCUCGUAAUGUCUUUCCUUUAGCACUGAUUUGACUUCUGAUUUGGGACUUGCACGUUUUGGAGGAUCUUGUUGCUGCGGUGGUUCUCACUGAGAAGGUCCCCCGAGGAUGUUAUCACCAGUGACCUGCUGGGACCUGCGGCUUCAUUUCUGCUGGGAAUCAUACGCCCUCCCUACUCGUAACACCCUUUCCAACCUCACCCUUCUGGAGUUUUGUCUAAUGACCCAUUCAAGUCGUUUCAGGGUGCUGCUUCGUUUGUUUUUCCCUUAUGGCGGAUGCUGUGACAAUCCCCAAGCUGUUGAAAUGGGGUUCGGUUUCUCCCAAGCUCUUUGCUUGGGAGUGUCCCCAGCUCCAUCAUGCUCAGGAUGGGUCUGCAUGGCAUCGCUUGCCGGGGUCGGUAAGUAAAAGACUUUUUAUUUUGCCUUAAUAAAUGAUGUCCCUGUAAAAUGGUGCAGAACCACACAGUAAAUUGCAGAGACGGGUUAAAUGGGAAAUAGCAUGCUCUGUUCAGAGCUCCCCCAAACCUCUCUUCCUCACCCCGUGAACUAUUUCCCUGGAGGUGCUGAGGUCUUCCCUCUUGCUGCUGCUGCCCAUCUGGAGCUUCAGCCCAGCAGCAAGCCACUUCCAGCAGGAAAAGUUGGGAUUUGUGGAAAUGUCACCAAAUUGGCAUGGAAAUUAUUAGUGAGGGGUUUUGGAGUAAGAUGGACACAUCCUCCCAGCAGCAAUAUUAAAAAAAAAAAAAAGCAGAAUAAAAAUGGAAUACAGUUAAAUCAGAUUGUUUUUGUUGUGUUGCUGCUGUUGCUUCUUUAUCCUAUGACUGUGGACAACCCUUUGAACGGCCCCUAUCCAAAUGUAACAACCACAGCAUAAGUGUCCCAUCUCUCUUACCCGCAAGGUUUUGGCCUCUGGAAAACCAGCUACCUCCAUUUCCAGUGAAGCAGGGAGAAAGCUGUUGUGUCAUGGCAGUGUGUAUGUAGGGGAAACCAGCUUGAGGGCAAUGUAAGGGGGUUUUGGGGCUGCCCCAGUGACUGUACUCUCUUACGGAGACUGGCUCCGGUGAGCUUUGCAUGUGCCAUCAGCCCAGCCCCUGCAUGUGAAGGGGAAUAGUGAAUGUUCUCAGGCCUCCUGGAACAGCAGGAUCAGGUCUUGGAAGGCUCACAUGCUUUCAGGUCUUUCAGCUUGAAAUCAUUGCAUAAAUGAGAAAUAAGUGCCAGCACGUUCGGGAUGGGAGGCAGCACAGGAGGGCUGCUGUCCCUGGGCCACCUGGGUGGCCAAGUGUCCAUCGCUGGCACUGGUGGGACCCCUGCAUUGUCAUGGGCUGAGCUGGGCCUUCUGGUUCCCAUCAGUGAUGUCCUCUGCAUGGUGGGCUACUGGAGAAGCACUACUUGCCCCAGCACCACUCCCCAGUGUUUUUUCCUAUUCCAUCUUUCAGCUGUAGUUCCAAUAUCAAAUAAGGUCUUCAUUUCUUAAUUUCUUUUUUCCCACUAAGAUAAGAGACCUCUGAUUUAGAGUCGGUAUUUAAUUACAUAUAAUUUCUCCACAUUUCCAUGCAGAAGUUUUUGAAGUUUGCCUCCUUCCCUCCCUGUGAGCCAUUAGCUGGAUGACACGGACACAGGUUUCCCUUCGCUUCUUCUUCUCCAUCCAACCCUACUCACACGGAAACUCCCCCACCAGGCAGUGAGAGAACGGGAACAGAUCUUUAUCAGAGACUCACCCACAGUAAGUCAAACAGCCAAACAAAUACUUUUCUAUCUAGAAUUAAAACUCUUGUGGGAUUCCCUUCCUUUGGAGGCAAACCAGGCGAUGGUGCGACCUCCUGUCCUUCUCUUGGAUGUGCCACUCCUCUGUGAUGGGGUGAUUUUGCUAGUUCUCCCUUGGGCCGUAGAGUUCCAGGAAAGACAAGAACUGAAUUUCUAGAAGAAUUUAUUUUUACAAAAAAUAGAGGGGAAAAAAAAAAAAAACCAAAAAAACCAACACUGUGUUGCUUCAAAUCCCUGCCAACUUUUUGAGCUUUUGUAGCUAAGCCAAAAAUAAGGGCACAAAACAAUUUUUCUUCAUUCGUAGGUCACCUUGAAGGAUAGAUGAGUAACUCUUUUAAUAGUAUUUCUUAUUCCAAGAGAAUUUUACUGAGGAGUGCAGCGAUGACUGAAAAUUCCUAUUUCCUUGCAGGUCCUCAGUUUUGUCUUAAGGAUAUGCAAGCAUCUGGACAGCUCCCCACUAUGGAUUUUUAUUCCAUUGCUGCAGUGUAGAGGUACUAUGGAGGUUUGGCAUAAAUAGUUUUCUUUAACUCAAUUUUGUAAGCACCUCUUGGCACCGUACCUCGAGCCCAUAUGUGCAAAUAGGAGAGCUGGAGGACAUGUCUACUUGGGGCGCCAGCCUCUUUCCACUCAAAUGCAGCCUCUCUGUUUAGCAUGGAUUAAAAAAGUACAAAAAAGGACGUGCAGUACAGCGUGACAUCCCAACAGUGCAGGAGCACCAAUGAGGAAUAAAAGCACAGGAAUGGAGGUGCUCCAGUGAUUCCUUCCUUGGGCAGGGCAGUGGUUAGGUGCUCAUUAGGGUCAAUGCCCUUCUCUCUUCUCCAUGCCUAACAUCAUGCAUGGAGCCAACGGGGCUAUGCUGGGACAGGACCCCAUGGGUCACCUCCUUUGCUGGCACAUGGGGAGCAGCUGCUGCCUGCAGAGAAGCCAUCCCAAAGGUCAAGCUCUGCAUGUGCUUUGUCUUAGUCACAGUGGUUUUCCCAUCCCUAAUUGAUAACUGAUGAGAAAACCUUUUGCUCUACGCAUACCUAUGCAUAUGUAUAGAUGUGCACACAGAUGAACACGUGUGUAUAUAAAUGGAUCUCUUUAAAUUUAAAUAGACUUAUGCCCAAGGGCAGGAAGGUGGAUAAAAGGUCGUUACAAAGAGAGGAGAUCCAACACAUCUGUGAGCUCUUUUGUGAGGAUUAAAUCUGUAGCAGGCUGCAUUCAGUGCUAAUACUCCUAUUAAUUUCUAUUUUUCAUUAUUGUUUUCACAUUUGUCAAGCUUCGAUGAAGGGAUAAUGAAGUGAACGGAUGUUAACUGCAAAUUAAUCAUCCCUGUCCUGAUAGCGUAACACAAGUUCCUAUUCACUUACCUUCAUUACUUAGAAAUAGCAACACACGUUACAUAUUCAUAGCAGCAAAACCUGCUGGAUUCCGUAAGAUAGCAAAAGAGAAAAAAAAAAAGAAAAAAAAAAAAAAGAAAAAGACUGACUUAUUUCUAAAGAAAGUAUAGAUACUCGUUGGGAAUGCUGGUUUGAACUCCAAGAGAGAGCUGAGAAAGAUGAAGGUGUAGUGUUGCAAGGAGAGCUUGUGGGAAACCACGCGCAGGUUGGACCUAUGGCUGUGUUUAGCUAUUGAAGGUGAGAUGGUUUGAAGGUCUCUUUUUUUUUUAAACUGGAGUCUGUUUUUUUCUCAUUGUGUGGCAAGAGGUAGGUGUAUCUGUCAGUAAAGAGAUUUUUUUUUUUUUUUGCAAACUUCUUUGCUUUGCUUUGGGACUUGAUUUCUCUGAGCCUGGUUUUGUGGUGGUAUCAGGUUUUUGGGAGCCUAGAGGCUCCUUAGUGCCAGUAUGAAUGGGAACAGAGUGGGUGAGACCUUGGGCUCAUUGAGGUCCUUCCAAGGGACCAGAGAGGAGCUGGAGGUGGGGAUGGAGAGCCCCCCGCCCCAGUGAUGUGUCUGUUCAGGGGUUACAUUGGGAUCUGCUGGAAGAUUUGGGUACAGCUGCUCCCGGAGAUGGGCUUGGAGCACUCGCUUGUUUUCAGCUUGGACUUUGACUCAGGCAAAUGUAUGAAUUUCUACUCAGGUGUUUUACUCCCAGUGAGGCAAUGUUGGGUUUUAUGGUCUGUAAGACAUGUUUUCAUGGUAAAUGAAGCUGUUCCUGGGGGAAGUGGCCACUGUGGGUUCAUCCUGGAGAUGCUCAGAGAAUGUUCCAAGGUUUGCAGACAUCACUUUGCCAGUCCUUGGUACAGUCCUUCUUUUGCUGGUCACUUGAGAGUGAUGUUGACACAGCAGGUUUACCUACCCUAUUACAUACCUGUCCCAGCAUUACUUUUUGUCUUCCCAACCUGGAUUUAUCACUGGUCCUUCCUUUUUGAAAUGCAAACUUUUUACAGCAAAGAGUCGUCUAAUCAUUGUCCAAUGACACCUCUCCCAGAAUAUUGCCUUUCCUGCUGUCUCCAUCACUUGUUUGGCGGAACCAAGUGACAUUUUCCUGCAUAGCUUUCACUUGCCUGCUCUCCUGGAGAAACAGCCAGAUCUCCACAUCUGCCUACCUCAUUCUGCCUACCCUGUGCCUGGGUCAGGAUGGGCAGCAGACCUCUGUCCACAGACCGACUUUCUGCAUCCAACUCAUCUGUAUUAUACCCAGAACUGUCCUACUGUCUCCCCUCCUCUUCUCUCUUCACAUUCCCUUCUUUUUUUUUUGUCUCUUUUCCCUCUCAACAGGUGCUGACAGAACAUUUUCUCGCUGUAGUUCUGUUGGAUUUCAAAGGCCUGGAUUUCACUCCUCACCCACCAUCUCUGCUACGUGCUCUCCAAGCUGAAAUAUCUCCAUUCAUUUAGUAAGCCAUAGAAAGAAACAAAGCAAUGGAGAGGGACAUAAGUAUGCCAGAAUUCAGUGCUCUGACAGCGCAGUUAACUAACAUUGACCUCUGGCUACUUCUGUGGCUGCUGCGUAACGCUUUAUACUGAGUGCUUCUUUUGUUUUGUCUCCAGCCCAAGAAUUCAUUUUUUAAUAAGAAAACUCAGAAGUGCCUCUGAAGGGUAUGGGCUCAUGAGCAUCACUGCUGUGUUGCAGACGUGCAAGCUUCACUCGCUCACAUGGUCCACGGACUUCAGCUAUUUGGAUUAAUGAGGGUCCAGUGUAGUCCUUGCUUUCUCCUCUUGUGAGAUGCAUGCAAUAGAGCCUCGGAUCUGCCUUUGCCUCUUCAGGCAUCUUCUCCAUGCCAUCACGUGUGCACGCCGCUGCUUGGAGAGCCUUGGAGAAGAGGAGGAACAGCUCUCAACAUGCGAAGCGAGUGGCUGGUUUACUUUCCUCGUUGCUCCCAUGGCUGGAGGAGCAGCACACUUCAUGUGCCUGCCUCCAGUCCCUAGAGUUGGCUGUUAAAUCUGGCUCUAGCUAUUUGUUCUUGAAAGUCAGUCUUGCCUUGCUGCCUUUCAUGGGCCCUCUUCUGCUUUAUACCUGUCCUCAUGCCCAAGGGUUCUGUUUGUUGCCAAACUGCUUCUUCCCAUUUUCCCUUUGCCCCUUCACCCAGCUCUCCUGCAGGUAGGUUUUCCAGUUGCAUACAUCCUAGUCCCUUUCCCAGGACAAAGGAGCCCCAUGUUUUCUGCCUGGCUGCCUCCCAUCUCCUCUAUUGCCCAUAACUUGCUCCCUUUUCCCAGCACGAAAGAGAAUCCUCGUUUCUUGGCACAGAUAACCAAUUGUCUCUGUCUUCAGCUAUUGCAGAAAGGAAAAGAAAUUUGCUUCACCUAUGCACGAGGGCUGCAGGAUGGUGAGCGCUCCUCCUAGCAAGGUCCUUUGCUCUCCCAGGGCUGUGGGAGGUGUUCUGGGACUCUGUUCUCAGAUCUCAGCCCCACAGUGAGAACUGAUGCAUGUCCCAAGUCAUUGCACUUCUCCUUACUCCUGUUCUUGGCCUGGCUGUCUGGGUGCUCAUUCCUCUGGCUACCUUGGAGCAUCUUUAUUUCCCUUUGACCUUCACAAAGCCAGCAGUGCUUCCUCUGGGAAGGAGGAAGAAGACUAAGUUCAUCAAGACCCACAUCCCUAUGGUCUUUCAUGAGCCAAAGUGGUCUUUCAUGACCCAAAGUGGCAGGGACCCAUGUCCCUUCCCACCCUGGGACUGGGAUUUGGAUGCAGUGGGUGCUGCUGUUAGAGCUGUGCAAACCUGACCUUCCUGAAGGGUUUAGGAUCCUAAAUCACACAGACUAAUCAAAAAAUAAAAUCCAGGCUCUCAAGUGUCUCAAGCAGUUAAGCUCAUUUUGUGGAGAGAUGUGAGAUAUUUCUAAAUGGAAUCAGGAAUGGAGGAAGCAGCUGGGUAUGUUUUAAUUCUAAUUUUUCCUAUAUAUCAAGCGUUAAAUUAACAAGUGAGGGAGAACACUACCGAGGAGCUAUCUGCUGUUUAGACAGGCAUAUCAGGAUAAAAUUACUCUGUGCUUGCCCGUGGUUUGUCUGGAUACUCCUGGAACUGCACCAGUAAAGAGUAUAAUUGCACUGCUCUUUGAGGCUUCGGGUUUGGUGCUGCGAAUCCUCCCUGCCGUCUGACUAUGCAAGGCUUGCUUGAUGACGUUAGGUAAUUAUUCCCUGUAGGCAAUUUCAACUGAGGCAGGACACAAAGCUCCUCAGAGGAUGUGCUAUCAGGAGAAAAGGGAGUAUGGCUCAAGCAAAGGAUUAAUAUUUUUAGCUGUAAAGACGGUUGGCUCGAAUGUUUGUUGGAGAGAGGCUUUCCUUGCUGUGUUUCAGUAUGGGAGACUAAUUGGCACAGGAAAGACACUGCAGUUUAGACGAUGAUGUCUACUUCUGAAUGACCAAUGUAAUUCACAGGCUACCUCAAUAUCAUCAACACUUUUUAAAGCAUUAUUUUUAUUUUACAACAGUGAGAAUAAGGAUCGAUACCAUUGUUUCCAAAUUAGAGUAAAUGAGUUUAAAAUCAGAGCCCUCCCCAGCACUGGUUGCCGCAUGAUAUUGGGCACUGAGGGCUUUGGGUUAGUUCACAUCUGUACACAUCACUUCAAUGGAGCACCACAGGCACAGCUGGCUGUACCUCGUUGGUGCACUUUGAGUACUCGUGUCUCUGCGUUCAUAUUGACUUUCACUGAAGCUCAGACAUAAAAUGCUUCAGUGCACAGAAUAUGAUAUUUUUUCUCAAUCCGAGUCCCAGGAGAACUCACUCCAGGCAUCCCCACUCAAUGAAAUAUUGUCUCUGCCGCCAGGGAAAGCAAUCUCUUGAGAAACAAGCCUGGAUGUAGAGGAAGGGAUCAUUUCCCAGCAACCUUUUGAUAUCGUCAAACCUUCAAUCUUUUGGUGAUUUUUGGACUUGGCGACAACAUCGGACCGGCCUUGGGCACUAAGUGCUUCAUUUCCAUCGACAUUUAUUAUUAUUCCACUUGCAUAUCUCAGAUCAUUGAGUGGUGGAGGUAGCAUUAACGUUCCCAUUUUAUAGAUGGAAUAGUUGUGUUGCAGAGAGAUACCUGGACAGCCUGGGACGUGGGUACAAGUCUGCUCUGGGUAGCUGAGUUCCUCUUGCAAUGCCAGCAUGCUUAAAGGAUACUUGUGUGCAUAUGUCCUGAUAUUUGUUAUUCAGGUUCGUAGAUGUAGCAGAAAUGCUAAGUCAUGGCCUGAAGCAGUGAUUGAGCACCUGGUGGAAGGCAGGGCCAACCCAGGGGAGCUCAGGUGCAUGCAAUGUACCUGAGUGACUGGAAGGGUGGAGCCAGGAUGCACCCCUUCCCAGACCUCAUUUAAGGGUUGGCAGUGGAGAUGGGGGCAUAUCACUGGCUUUCUCUUCUUACCUGAGGCCUUCUGAAGGUAAGCAGCUCUUUCCUUUGUUUCUGCAUCCAUGGCUGCUACACUUGGGCUUAUCCUUGCUUGCUGCAGCCUGAGACUCUGCUACACUGCUGUUAUUGCUGUGUUUUCCAUCACGUUAUAGCAUUACAGUAGAUUGUCACUUAUUUUCUUUGUUUCCAAGGUCUUCUGAAAAUGAAUGUGGUGGCUGCUGGUGGGACACACAGCCUUUUCCUUGCUCCAGCUUUAGUGCAGUAUCUAGUACUUACUAGGGCCGUGCUGAUCCUCAAGCCAGGAAUAUUUAGGACUGCCUCUAAGCUUGUCAUUAAUGAAUAUCAUGACAAUUAACCUUAUAGACAGGCAAGAAAAGGCAGAGCUGGUUUAAAUUCCUGGCUUGUUCCUCAUGAGGUUGCAAGCUUAUUUAAUGUCACAUCAAACUCCAAAAGGCCAUGUAGAUUUAGAGCUCACAAGAUCAUCACUUUCUUGCUGUCCACCAGACUGUCCUUGAACUCAUGUGUUUGCUGCUCCCAGUUGCAAAAUUUCAUAGGCAAGCAUGAAUGUUUUCAGGAGGAAAAGCCCAGCUUUUAUAGACUAAACUUGGAUUUUAAUUAAAAACCUUAACUUCUGCAAAUUCCUAUCCAUCUAAAAGGAUGCCAGCAUGCCUGCUCCUUAUGCAGGGGUGAGCUGGGGCUGCCCUCUGCUCUUGCUCAGAAGGACUUCUCCUUUGAAGGGGAAGAAGCCACAGGGACCACAUUUGCCUGUAGUCAGCAACAUCUGCUGAAUGAACUAGAAGCUGAUACUCACACAAAUCUAAUCCACAAGUAAGAAGUGGGAGGGCACAGUUGUGCAGUAGGCAAAUGAAAGGUUAUCACUUAAAGCCUGCUUCUGAUUUUAUUUCAUUAUUUUCCAGCCCAUUCCUCCAAAAUCCCACAUUCUGGACUGUUUCCCAUCAGUACUUGUUUUCCUUUCUCUUUGCAGCAUACUUCCAUGCUCUACAGAGUCUCGAAGAAAGCAGCAGCAGGAAGCUUAGACUCCAUUUCCCACUCUUUCCCAGCUAUAAUGAAGAUGUCCUGCUAGCAGAUGUUAUAUGACAGCAUCCUAGUAUUCAUUGUAAUACUGGGGAAGUAGCAGCAGAAAUGGAAAGCCCCUUGGUCUUCAAGAAACCAGCAUCUACUGGAGAGGACAGGGCUGGAGAUGCUGCCAAAAGAGCCACAGAAGCAUGAUGCAAACUGUAUCCUCUUGCUGGGCUUUGGGAACUGCUCAGCUUUCAGCUGGGUUUGUGCCACUCAGGCUGUUCCUGUUAGGAGAAAGCUGGAGGAGUGCCCUUUUGCCCAAGGUCUGAUCUCCCAGGGGCUGCUGAGAUGCUAGCUGAUCCCCUUGUUGCUGCAUAGCUACCUGUGUUUCAGUGUAAGUGUAUGGGGACGUCAGCAAUACUCUGUAUGAUGUGGAUGUAUCAGUGUAAUACAUGAGAGAGUUCUUUUUCCCAUCUCCACCUCUGCAGGCUCCGGGAUGCUGCCUGAGUUCCCCUUUGGACUCCAGAGUCCCAUUGAGAUCAUGACAGCCAUGUUUAUGUGCUAUUCUAAUGCUGGUUGUUGCAGUGUAAGUGCUUUUUAAUGCAUGGCAUUACAGCAGGUGCAUGCUGUUCUCUCCCUUACCGAAUGGCUGUCUGGAGGGAUGUAAUUCCGGCUUCUGCCUCAGCAUGCUGUUAUUUACAAGUGUGGUUACACGGUUUGUGCCACCUCAGAGCUUAAUUUAGUUAAUUUGGUGCACAGCACAUGAGAACCACCUUUGCAGAAUGAGUGCUGUGAUACCCAGCUGGCUCAGGGAUCCCAUAACUGCAUCUCGGAGGUGGGAGGACUUCAGAAGAGCAUUCAGGGAGCAACGAGCAGUGGUGUCAGGAGCAUGAAGUCCCAUCACUUCUAUACAUAAAACUAGAGCAGGACACAUGCGAUGUGUGUCUUGGGGUGGCCAGGUCUGUGGUAGCUCCUUGGCCAUUGACGCAGAGCUUUGUUGAUUGUCCCCACAAAGGCUUUUGGCUAUGGAUUUGCGGAUGUGGUUGUAGAAUAAAAUGAAAUUCCACCUCCUCAUACUGGACUGGUUCCUAUAGCCGUUCACACAUUUCAGUGUGAAAUUCUGCUGGGAGAGGGAGCUCAGCUGGAAGCAAUACACCUAACAGAGAUAUUCUGUGCUGACUUUUUUCAGAGGGAAUGAUCUGUUCUGAUGACAUUCACUUGAUCACGUGUAGCUCUUGCCCUUAGAAGCCUUUGGUGUUGCUAUUGGUAUUGAGUGAGGAACUGCAAUGAAGUGCCAUCCAUGUGUCCAGUGUGCUGAGAAGACUCUGGGGUCGGUGGUGCAGUGAGGAAGCAGGAGCUGAUGAGCUGUGGCAUGAGGAUUCUCAGGGAACCUUUCCCAGAUUAGUUGUAAGAGACAGCUCUUGUAUAAGUGUUUAAGUGCUCCAUAAGGUACUGCCUGUGGCAGCAGAUUAGGGUCACAGAGGAAGGAGGAGGCUUGCCUGGGCUCCAGAGGCAGAGCUCAAUUUCUGUGUCCUGGAGCAACAUCUCUGGCUUCUGUCUUGAUGGGUUCUUCCUAGAGAAGUGUAGGAGCCCUGGAUAGGAAGCAGCAAGACAUACCUGAUCCUUGCAGCCUGAAAAUGACUUGCCACAAUAACCAGUGCUGUAGGCACUAAAAGGGAGCUUCAGAUACCUGGAAAGGAGAAAUCCUGUGCAAAGACAGCUCUCUUGAAUGUCCUCCUCCCAUCCAGAAGGUACUAAAAGCUUGGUGGGUGACUUCUGGAGUUACCUGCCAGUCCUGGCUUCCCCAGGAGCUACCUGAGAUGGUUCAGAGCCAACAGACUUUACCCUCUUUGCCAGAGUCACCAGUUUCUGGGUGAGUUGCUGGUCAUAGACCACCUUAUCCAGGUGGCAAGUGGGAAUCUGGGCUGCUGCAGUGCAAGAGCUGGAAGAUUUUAUUUACAUCUGUUUAUAUAUAUAUUUAUAACACCUGAGUUUAAUAGGCUAAAAGAUCAGGAAUUUUCUUUCACUGAAAGGAAAUUCCACUGACUGCUUUUCUGUAUCUAUCCAUGCUACCACUUUCCAAUAUCUGUGUUUUCCUGUAGCAACAUAGUGGGUACACAGUGGUUCCAGUUUUCCCUGAUGUCCACAAGCAGAUGAAUUUCAAAGGUGUUUCCCAUGGAUGCUCCUGCAGGCAGUGAGGAGGCCAGAGAUGUGAGUGUCACAAAAGCAGCAAAGAAGCAAAACAUCUCCUUUGGGCUCCUGUGGCUGUGUUUGCCCCCAAGUGCCAGCCCAUGCUCUGUUUUCUCCAGUGGUCAAGCCCUGCUGGAUUGACCAAAAGUUGCUCCAUCCCUGGGGUCAGUCAGAGCCCCAUGGGACUAUGGGAAAGGCUUGGUGAGUGGGAGCGUUCUACAUUGAGGGCAGGCAGGGUGGUGAUGUUCAUGGCUUCAUCAAGGGCUCCUUUUUCUUUGCAAAGAACUCUUGCUUGCUCGCUCAGCUUGCUGCACUGGUGAGAAUGUACUUACUGGCUUAACUACUGAGAUAUCUCUAAUGGAGAAUUUAAUCUCCAGAGCGUUGCUGUCUCUUAUGUUUCCUGUGUCUUAGGUGCUCAAUAAAUGCUUGCUAAAGUAA